rnacentral:rRNA from 1 species
GUCUAAGGCUGUGCUACCCUGAGCAAGCUCAAUCCCGUCUGACCUCGGAAGCUAAGCAGGGCCAGGUGUGGUUACUACUUGGAUGGGAGACCACCUAGGAAGACCAGGUGCUAUAGGCG